rnacentral:rRNA from 1 species
AUUGAACGCUGGCGGCAGGCCUAACACAUGCAAGUCGAGCGAGCGGCGGACGGGUGAGUAAUGUCUGGGAAACAGCCUGAUGGAGGGGGCAAACUACUGUAAACGGUAGCUAAUACCGCAUAUCAUCAAAUGUUACCAGAUGGGAUUCGCUAGUAGGUGGGGUAAGGGCUCACCAAGGCGACGAUCCCUAGCUGGUCUGAGAGGAUGACCAUCCACACUGUAACGGAGACAAGGUCCAGACUCCUACGGGAGGCAGCAGUGGUGAAUAUUGCACAAUGGUCGCAAGCCUGAUGCAGCAAUGCCGCUUGUGUGAAGAAGGCCUUCGGGUUGUAAAGCACUUUCAGCGGGGAGGCGUUACCCGCAGAAGAAGCACCGGCUAACUCCGUGCCAGCAGCCGCGGUAAUUC